rnacentral:pre_miRNA from 1 species
UUUGGCAUUGCAUACCUGCUAUUAUGAUCCAUUAAUUCUGGAUAUCCCGUCUUCAAGCUCCCCUGCAUAUUUGGUAUCAGAACAUGUGCAAAAAAGAUUUCCUUUAAAUCUUAACAGAUUUAAAAAGAAAAUCUAGGAGUUGAUGGCUCUGAUACCAAAUAUGCAGGGGAGCUUGAAGACGGGAUAUCCAGAAUUAAUGGAUCAUAACAGCAGGUAUGUUAUGCCAA